UACGGAGGGGGCUAGCGUUGUUCGGAAUUACUGGGCGUAACGGGCGCGCAGGCGGCUGCUCAAGUCAGGCGUUAAAGGCCUGGGCUCAACCCGGGAAUUGCGAUUGAGACUGGGCUGGCUUGAGUGCGGGAGAGGAUGGUGUAAUUCCCAGUGUAGAGAUGACAUUCGUAGAUAUUUGGAAGUACACCGGGGGCGAUGGCGGCCAUCUGGACAGCAACUGACUCUGAGGCGCGAAAGAGUGGGGAGAAAGCAGG
rnacentral:rRNA from 1 species